rnacentral:rRNA from 1 species
UAAGUUAGUGGCGGACGGGUGAGUAACGCGUGGGUAACCUGCCUUGUACUGGGGGACAACAGUUGGAAACGACUGCUAAUACCGCAUAAGCGCACAGCUUCGCAUGAAGCAGUGUGAAAAACUCCGGUGGUACAAGGUGGACCCGCGUCUGAUUAGCUGGUUGGUGAGGUAACGGCCCACCAAGGCGACGAUCAGUAGCCGGCCUGAGAGGGUGAACGGCCACAUUGGGACUGAGACACGGCCCAAACUCCUACGGGAGGCAGCAUG